GGUGCCAUAGCUCAGUUGGUAGAGCAAAGGACUGAAAAUCCUUGUGUCCCCGGUUCGAUUCCUGGGGGUACCA
rnacentral:tRNA from 1 species